GGUAGAGAGGAUAGGCCAGGAGACCCCUUCUCUGUAAAGGACACAGACACAGCCCUGCCCUCUGCCCCCACCACAUAUUGACUGAGUUCCCAACUCAGUUUCCACUCUGUUUACUGUCCAAAGUCCCAGGUAGAUGCCAAGUUAGAAGCGCUUGGACGCUCAGACGCACGGUUUCAGGGCCCUCGCCUGAACUAGUGCUCACCCCUUCCCUCGUCUCCUCCAGCACCGCCUGGCCCCCAGUUCUCCUGGUUCAAGCCGUCCUGCGUCCUGGGGCCUGGGCGGCCCUCUAGACCUUGAACAGAUCCAACCCAAGCCAUCGCCUAGACCCACUCUGAGCCUACAUCCAUCAGCCUCCACCUCAAUUAGCAUCUUAGCAGGAGCAUCAGCCCCAACUCAGUCCCAGCCUUGAAGCAUCCCUGAGCCCAGUCGGGGUCUAUCCACACCCAAAACCCAGCAUGGCCAGGGACUUCCAGGACAUCCAGCAGCUGGACUCCGAGGAGAACGACCACCAGCUCGGCAGAGACGAGGGCCCAGGCACUCGUGGGUACAGCCCCAGGAGAGAAGGACCAUUCUGGAAAGGGAUGCUGCCCCCCCAGCCUCUUGCGCUGCAGCGUCUCUGCUCCAAGUUCCACCUCAGUCUGCUUGUCCUGGCCUUCAACGUCCUGCUGCUGGUGGCCAUCUGUGUGACAGGGUCCCAAAGGGCACAGCUGCAAGGGGAGCUGCAGACCCUACAGGAGACUUUCAGCAACUUCUCGUCGAGCACACUGAAGGACAUCCUGAACCUCAGCUCCCACGGAGGCUUCGCCAGUGACACGGUGAGAUUUCUGGAAGCCAAGCUGGUAAAACAGCAGCAAGACUUGAAAGCAGAUCAUGCCACUUUGCUGCUCCAUCUGAAGCACUUCCCCACGGAUCUGCGCACACUGACUUGUCAGAUGGCACACUUCCAGAGCAACGGCACAGAAUGCUGCCCAGUGAACUGGGUGGACCAUGACGGCAGCUGCUACUGGUUCUCUCGCUCGGGGAAGCCCUGGCUCGAGGCUGAGAAAUACUGCCAGCUGGAGAAUGCCCACCUGGUGGUCAUCAACUCCAGAGAGGAGCAGAAGUUCAUUGUACAACACACGAACCCCUUUAGAGCCUGGAUAGGUCUCACCGACAGCGAUGGCUUCUGGAAAUGGGUGGACGACACAGACUACAGGCACAGCUAUAAGAACUGGGCUGCCAGCCAGCCCGAUGACUGGCGGGGGCACGAGCUGGGGGGCAGCGAGGACUGUGCAGAGAUCCAACGGGAUGGGCGCUGGAAUGACGAUUUCUGCCAGCAAGUGAAACGCUGGGUGUGUGAGAUGAAGCAGAACGUCACUGUCUAGCCACCCACCUCCCCCAGCCUCCAGCAGACCUCUGACCCACAAACCUCCCUGCCUGGACAUUUUGAAGAAAGGAAGGAGAGGAGAGUCUUCCGAAGUAUGGGGAGAGCUUGAAGAGGGAUAGAAGCGGGUGGCUGAAGAAGCUCUGACCCUGAAGAUCCUGCCUUCUUCUGAAAUUCACUGUUUUAAAAACAACCAGACCAAAACAUACACAGCAAGAAGCAUGGCCUUGGCACCUGGGAAGGGAGUCUUAUGAUCAAAGGAGGAGCAGCACUGGCAUCCCAGGAAGAGGAGAAUUUCAUCUUUAUUUUUGACAUGGUCAGUGUGCUCUUCCCUUUAAAUAAUUAAAGUGGAUGCAUAAUGUGCAUUUGAUAGUUCACAAACACACUGUCAUAACUUGGCCAUAAAGUUCAAGUUAGCUCAUGAAAAAGCCAGAAUGACUUUCCCAUACCUCCAU